AGCUUUGCACAGUGGCAGUAUCGUAGCCAAUGAGGUUUAUCCGAGGCGCGAUUAUUGCUAAUUGAAUACGUCGCGUUUAGCUUUGCACAGUGGCAGUAUCGUAGCCAAUGAGGUUUAUCCGAGGCGCGAUUAUUGC